rnacentral:rRNA from 1 species
UACAGAGGGGGCAAGCGUUGUUCGGAAUUACUGGGCGUAAAGGGCUCGUAGGCGGCCAACUAAGUCAUACGUGAAAUCCCUCGGCUUAACCGGGGAACGGCGUCUGAGACUGGCAAGCUUGAAUCCGGGAGAGGGAUGCGGAAUUCCAGGUGUAGCGGUGAAAUGCGUAGAUAUCUGGAGGAACACCGGUGGCGAAGGCGGCAUCCUGGACCGGUAUUGACGCUGAGGAGCGAAAGCCAGGGGAGCAAACGGG